rnacentral:tRNA from 1 species
CAUUGAGAAGCUAUAGCAGCGUUAACCUUUUAAGUUAAAGAAUGAGAGCUUGAAUCUCUCCUUAAUGG